rnacentral:rRNA from 1 species
UACGUAGGGGUGCGAGCGUUGUCCGGAUUUAUUGGGCGUAAAGCGCGUGUAGGCGGCUUGGCAAGUCGGGGUGUGAAAUCCCUCAGCUUAACUGAGGAAGUGCGCCCGAAACUGCCCGAGCUUGAGUACCGGAGAGGGUGGCGGAAUUCCCCAAGUAGAGGUGAAAUUCGUAGAUAUGGGGGAGGAACACCGGUGGCGAAGGCGGCCACCUGGACGGAUACUGACGCUGAGACGCGAAAGCGUGGGGAGCAAACAGG